UGCUAAAAUUCUGGUUCCUGCUGAGAUGU
rnacentral:piRNA from 1 species